UACGGGGGGGGCAAGCGUUGUUCGGAAUUACUGGGCGUAAAGGGCGCGUAGGCGGCCACCGCAAGUCGGUUGUGAAAUCUCCGGGCUUAACCCGGAACGGUCAAUCGAUACUGCGGGGCUAGAGUGCAGAAGGGGCAACUGGAAUUCUCGGUGUAGCGGUGAAAUGCGUAGAUAUCGAGAGGAACACCUGCGGCGAAGGCGGGUUGCUGGGCUGACACUGACGCUGAGGCGCGAAAGCUAGGGGAGCGAACGGG
rnacentral:rRNA from 1 species